rnacentral:rRNA from 1 species
GGGACACGUGGUAUCCUGUCUGAAUAUGGGGGGACCAUCCUCCAAGGCUAAAUACUCCUGACUGACCGAUAGUGAACCAGUACCGUGAGGGAAAGGCGAAAAGAACCCCGGCGAGGGGAGUGAAAAAGAACCUGAAACCGUGUACGUACAAGCAGUGGGAGCCUCUUAAUGGGGUGACUGCGUACCUUUUGUAUAAUGGGUCAGCGACUUAUAUUCUGUAGCAAGGUUAACCGAAUAGGGGAGCCGAAGGGAAACCGAGUCUUAACUGGGCGUUAAGUUGCAGGGUAUAGACCCGAAACCCGGUGAUCUAGCCAUGGGCAGGUUGAAGGUUGGGUAAC